rnacentral:rRNA from 1 species
GAGUCUGACGGAGCACGCCGCGUGAGUGAUGAAGGCUUUCGGGUCGUAAAACUUGUUGUUAGGGAAGAACAAGUGCUAGUUGAAUAAGCUGGCACCUUGACGGUACCUAACCAGAAAGCCACGGCUACUACGUGCCAUAGCCGCGGUAAUACGUAGGUGGCAAGCGUUAUCCGGAAUUAUUGGGCGUAAAGCGCGCGCAGGUGGUUUCUUAAGUCUGAUGUGAAAGCCCACGGCUCAACCGUGGAGGGUCAUUGGAAACUGGGAGACUUGAGUGCAGAAGAGGAAAGUGGAAUUCCAUGUGUGCGGUGAAUGCGUAGGUUAUGGAUGAUCACCAGUGGCUUAGGUCC